UGUCCAGGGGCGGGAAUCGAACCCACACCCUUCUGCUUACCGGGCAGGUGCCUUGUCCACUAGGCUAUCCUGGAC
rnacentral:tRNA from 1 species